GGCCUGGUGGUGUAAUGGUAACAUGUCUGUCUUAUUGUGGAGGCUCCGCAGUAAAACAUAUAAGAGGAUUUACCCCGUUCGAUUCGGGGCCAGGCCA